CAGGGUAUAGCUUAGUUGGUAAAGUGCUCCCCUCGGACGGGAGAGAGCGCAGGUUCGAGACCUGCUACCCUGACCA
rnacentral:tRNA from 1 species